rnacentral:tRNA from 1 species
GGCGAGGUAGCUCAGCUGGUUAGAGCGCAUGAUUCAUAAUCAUGAGGUCGUGAGUUCAAGUCUCACUCUCGCUA